CGUGUUGCUAAUGUGCCUCGUCGUGCAAAAGUGUUGGCCAGAGUUGUCUUUUAUUUACUUUAUAUUUCGUAAUACAAGCCCAAUGACGUGCAGAAUGUGGGACGCUUUCCGUCCAUAAUCAUGACUGCUAGUGCUAUCGCCCGCGGCUCGAAAACGAACGUGGAAUGUUCGGGCUGCAGUACAAGACCCCGACAGUGCUCCAGACUAAGUUUUGGACCAGGAACUCACUAAGAAGGACCGAGUCGAUAAGAUUAAUUACAGUAACUGACUGACGCUGAAAUGGACAAACUACAAGAAAGCCAAAGUUCAUGAGCUGGACAUCACACAGAGACUUGAACUGUUGAAAACACUGGGCCAACUUUAGUGGUGGUUUCGAUCUCCGACAGCGUCAUAUCAAAGACUUGUCGGACUCGGAUUAGAACGGAGAAAGGCAAUGAUGAUGGGAGAGCAGACGUGCCAACCCCGUGGAAAAAGAGAUCCUAAUUAUUAUUAUCA